AAGAAGACAGUGCAGCCACCUCCGAGAGCCUGGAUGUGAUGGCGUCACAGAAGAGACCCUCCCAGAGGCACGGAUCCAAGUACCUGGCCACAGCAAGUACCAUGGACCAUGCCAGGCAUGGCUUCCUCCCAAGGCACAGAGACACGGGCAUCCUUGACUCCAUCGGGCGCUUCUUUGGCGGUGACAGGGGUGCGCCCAAGCGGGGCUCUGGCAAGGACUCACACCACCCGGCAAGAACUGCUCACUACGGCUCCCUGCCCCAGAAGUCACACGGCCGGACCCAAGAUGAAAACCCCGUAGUCCACUUCUUCAAGAACAUUGUAAGUGACGAUCGAUGGGAAGAGGUAGCAACUGUGAGGGGGAGGAGGGGGGAGAGGACUGUCCCUGAGCAGAUUUAGCUGGGGGGCCGAAGGCCAGAGACCAGGAUUUGGCUACGGAGGCAGAGCGUCCGACUAUAAAUCGGCUCACAAGGGAUUCAAGGGAGUCGAUGCCCAGGGCACGCUUUCCAAAAUUUUUAAGCUGGUAAGGAAGAGAUAGUCGCUCUGGAUCACCCAUGGCUAGACGCUGAAAACCCACCUGGUUCCGGAAUCCUGUCCUCAGCUUCUUAAUAUAACUGCCUUAAAACUUUAAUCCCACUUGCCCCUGUUACCUAAUUAGAGCAGAUGACCCCUCCCCUAAUGCCUGCGGAGUUGUGCACGUAGUAGGGUCAGGCCACGGCAGCCUACCGGCAAUUUCCGGCCAACAGUUAAAUGAGAACAUGAAAACAGAAAACGGUUAAAACUGUCCCUUUCUGUGUGAAGAUCACGUUCCUUCCCCCGCAAUGUGCCCCCAGACGCACGUGGGUCUUCAGGGGGCCAGGUGCACAGACGUCCCUCCACGUUCACCCCUCCACCCUUGGACUUUCUUUUCGCCGUGGCUGCGGCACCCUUGCGCUUUUGCUGGUCACUGCCAUGGAGGCACACAGCUGCAGAGACAGAGAGGACGUGGGCGGCAGAGAGGACUGUUGACAUCCAAGCUUCCUUUGUUUUUUUUUCCUGUCCUUCUCUCACCUCCUAAAGUAGACUUCAUUUUUCCUAACAGGAUUAGACAGUCAAGGAGUGGCUUACUACAUGUGGGAGCUUUUGGUAUGUGACAUGCGGGCUGGGCAGCUGUUAGAGUCCAACGUGGGGCAGCACAGAGAGGGGGCCACCUCCCCAGGCCGUGGCUGCCCACACACCCCAAUUAGCUGAAUUCGCGUGUGGCAGAGGGAGGAAAAGGAGGCAAACGUGGGCUGGGCAAUGGCCUCACAUAGGAAACAGGGUCUUCCUGGAGAUUUGGUGAUGGAGAUGUCAAGCAGGUGGCCUCUGGACGUCACCGUUGCCCUGCAUGGUGGCCCCAGAGCAGCCUCUAUGAACAACCUCGUUUCCAAACCACAGCCCACAGCCGGAGAGUCCAGGAAGACUUGCGCACUCAGAGCAGAAGGGUAGGAGUCCUCUAGACAGCCUCGCAGCCGCGCCAGUCGCCCAUAGACACUGGCUGUGACCGGGCGUGCUGGCAGCGGCAGUGCACAGUGGCCAGCACUAACCCUCCCUGAGAAGAUAACCGGCUCAUUCACUUCCUCCCAGAAGACGCGUGGUAGCGAGUAGGCACAGGCGUGCACCUGCUCCCGAAUUACUCACCGAGACACACGGGCUGAGCAGACGGCCCCGUGGAUGGAGACAAAGAGCUCUUCUGACCAUAUCCUUCUUAACACCCGCUGGCAUCUCCUUUCGCGCCUCCCUCCCUAACCUACUGACCCACCUUUUGAUUUUAGCGCACCUGUGAUUGAUAGGCCUUCCAAAGAGUCCCACGCUGGCAUCACCCUCCCCGAGGACGGAGAUGAGGAGUAGUCAGCGUGAUGCCAAAACGCGUCUUCUUAAUCCAAUUCUAAUUCUGAAUGUUUCGUGUGGGCUUAAUACCAUGUCUAUUAAUAUAUAGCCUCGAUGAUGAGAGAGUUACAAAGAACAAAACUCCAGACACAAACCUCCAAAUUUUUCAGCAGAAGCACUCUGCGUCGCUGAGCUGAGGUCGGCUCUGCGAUCCAUACGUGGCCGCACCCACACAGCACGUGCUGUGACGAUGGCUGAACGGAAAGUGUACACUGUUCCUGAAUAUUGAAAUAAAACAAUAAACUUUUAAUGGU
rnacentral:lncRNA from 1 species